GAGCUGGGGAUGACUGCAGAGAGGCUCAGUUUCAAUGAGGAUUCCAUCCCAUUUUUACUCCAUGAUCCUUCAGGCAGAACAGAUACUUUAUGAAAAGAACCAGUGAACAACAUCAUAUGAGCCUUUCACAGGAUAAAUGGGUUGGACAGGCAAUUUUGGCUUCUUCUGGGAUCAUGCUCUCCAUUCAAAUAUACAGCUCAAUUAUGUGACUUCCAUACUGAGAAAAUACUUUAACUUUUAAAGUGCACAGCAGCAGUCUGGUCUUAAUAAAAAUGUUUAAAACCC
rnacentral:lncRNA from 1 species